AGUGCUACCAUGAGAAGUACAGCCCCAGGAAGCAGGAGAUGCAAGCCUUCAACAUGCUGAAGGUGUCCUUGGCUCCCUGCAUAGAGGCCUUGAUACUGCUGGAUCGCCUCUGCUACCUGAAAGAGCAGGAGAACACGUGUUUUUUCAGCCGUGGUGCCUCUGUUUGAUCCGCUGAUGUCACCGCGAUGUUACGGAACCUUCGCCUUAAACGGAGCGAGUGAAUGUUCCAAAAACAAACAUUCCUAAAUCUUGUUUCCUUACUGUUUCCCCCCCUUAUGGUCCGCUACCAUCAGGAGAAACCUUGCUGCAAGUCAUAUUUCGUGACAAUUUCAUGAAACGCAUCUUUGAGUUCUCUGCCACAUCCUGUGACUCUGGACUGAAAAGGACAAUUUGCUGUUCCCUCGUCACAUUCCGACUGUUCUCUCCUGAUGUGGCCCUUCUGGACAGCACAUCAGAAAUUCUCCUUACUGCCCUAAGAAACCAGUUUCUCUUCAGUUUCCUGGGGAUUAGUCCAUUCGGUUUUGUUAUUAGUUUAAUUCCCACACAUAGAGGGCUCUUAAUGGAUUCAGCAGUGAUGCGGCACAUUAAUCUGUUUUUAUCUGUAUCAGUCCUAAAUACUGCACAUUAAAUAUUCUCAUCACUGAAAACUCAAUAGAUCCAAGAGUUUUCAGACAUUAAACGUCUUUAUAAAUUAGUGUGUUUCUGAUAAGGGGUGGUAAUAAUGGGAGUGGAAGAAUUAAUGAUUGUUGUGUAAUUUUAUUAUUUUAUUCAGAAUCGUUCUGUUAACAUGUGCAUGUGUGUGUACGCACACACACAUGCAUGUGUGCGUGUGUGUUUGAGAGCAAGAGUGAGUAGGAGUGUGUGUGUGAGUGUGUGGGGUGGAAUCAGGAUUUGGUUUAUGAUGCAUGUGCGUAGUUUCUGAGGAACACCCAUCCCCAGAAACCCACCUAUCCCAAAUUAAGCACUCCAAGAUGUUAUUCUCUGUUUGCUGGAAACAGCUCAUUCUGUGCUGCUGGUGUGUCAUUUCCUGUCAUUUGCCCCCCCCCCCCCCCCCUUAAUGCAAACUCUCUGGCCAGUGCCUCUUCACUCUGUGCGCCAGUAAACGGGCGUGGCCACUUCCUGUAAGCCACUGGAGAGGGCAGAGGGCACGGGAAGCAGGCCGAGAUGUUGCUGAAGCAGAAAACAUCUGCAAGUUGUUUUAAAAUAGACACCCGCCCCCUCACAGAGUCAUUCCCCUGUCAGCAUCAGAAAUCCUUACAUGCCCUGUCACUUAUCUUUAAAAGAAGAAAUGUCAUUUCUCCAUUUUAGAAGCCAGCAGCAUGACUUCAUGAUCAUUAGCAUGAGACCUUUGCCUUUGUAUUGUCGGGCACUUAUUAGUGGGAGUCUGAAUUGUCGAAGCGUUUGUACUUGCCUAAAUGAGUGGUUGCUCCGCUAUGGGGUAUCUGGGGAGUCUUCAUAUGGAAGCACCUGUGUGUUUUUAUGAGUUAACUGAGCGAUCUGGUCUUAUGGUCCAUCUUUUCAACAUCCCGCCAGUUUAUUGAAUGUGCUGUGGCUCAGUCUCACCAGAGCAGGAAGACACCUUAUAAAGCGCAUUAAGCCUUACAAACAUACAGGACCCAUGGCAAGCGAGGCAAAGCAACCGCAGCAAUGUGGAAAAUACAUUAGCUCUGCUUUGGGCUGUUUGCACAUCCUGAAUAUGUUCUAUAAUUAUGAAUUCAGAAAGAGCAAUUCGUGAUUAAGUGGAGUUCAUAAUACAUCGCCAUUGUCAAGUAACAUGCAUUAAUGCAAAAACAGCCAAGUAUUACAAGCCUUUCUACACUACACACAAAAGCAUUCUCAAGAGAACAGAUUGUUGUUUUCGGAUGUUGUGGAAGUUCUGUGUGACACUUGUCAAGGCGGUGUACGUCGGUAAUGCUCGGCACGUGUGCUUUUGGUGAAUGUAGAGCUGUGUAUGUGCGUAGCGUGGAUAUAAAAAACAUUACGCGGAACAGUAGGCGUGCGCACGGACCCGUGUUCCACACGCCGCACUAUUGCUUUGUUUAUGAAGUGGCCAGGAUGC